rnacentral:rRNA from 1 species
GAUGAACGCUGGCGGCGCGCCUAACACAUGCAAGUCGAACGGUUAAAGCCCCUUCGGGGGUGCAUAAAGUGGCGAACGGCUGAGUAACACGUGGGCAACCUGCCCCUCGCACCGGGACAGCCUCGGGAAACCGUGGUUAAUACCGGAUACUCCCGCACCCCCGCAUGGGGGCGCGGGGAAAGCCCAGACGGCGAGGGAUGGGCCCGCGGCCUGUUAGCUCGUUGGCGGGGUAACGGCCCACCAAGGCGAUGAUGGGUAGCCGGGUUGAGAGACCGACCGGCCAGAUUGGGACUGAGACACGGCCCAGACUCCUACGGGAGGCAGCAGUGGGGAAUCUUGCGCAAUGGGCGGAAGCCUGACGCAGCGACGCCGCGUGCGGGAAGGAGGCCUUCGGGUCGUAAACCGCUUUCAGCAGGGACGAGG